rnacentral:rRNA from 1 species
GCGGAUCCCCUUCGGGGGUGACGCUUGUGGAACGAGCGGCGGACGGGUGAGUAACACGUGGGCAACCUGCCUGUAAGACUGGGAUAACCCCGGGAAACCGGGGCUAAUACCGGAUAACACCGGACUCCACAUGGAGUCUUGUUGAAAGAUGGCUUCUUGCUAUCACUUACAGAUGGGCCCGCGGCGCAUUAGCUAGUUGGUGAGGUAACGGCUCACCAAGGCGACGAUGCGUAGCCGACCUGAGAGGGUGAUCGGCCACACUGGGACUGAGACACGGCCCAGACUCCUACGGGAGGCAGCAGUAGGGAAUCUUCCGCAAUGGACGAAAGUCUGACGGAGCAACGCCGCGUGAACGAUGAAGGUCUUCGGAUCGUAAAGUUCUGUUGUCAGGGAAGAACAAGUGCCGUGCGAAUAGAGCGGCACCUUGACGGUACCUGACGAGGAAGCCCCGGCUAACUACGUGCCAGCAGCCGCGGUAAUACGUAGGGGGCAAGCGUUGUCCGGAAUUAUUGGGCGUAAAGCGCGCGCAGGCGGUUUCUUAAGUCUGAUGUGAAAGCCCACGGCUCAACCGUGGAGGGUCAUUGGAAACUGGGGAACUUGAGUACAGAAGAGGAGAGUGGAAUUCCACGUGUAGCGGUGAAAUGCGUAGAUAUGUGGAGGAACACCAGUGGCGAAGGCGACUCUCUGGUCUGUAACUGAC